CGAGGUGGCGAGGUCAUGAUUAGACCCGCCCUAUGUUGAAUCUCCGUCCCCGAGCUCGUCUCCCCGCCCAUGCCCAUCUCGCGCGACCACUCCGGCGCCACCGCGUGACCCCUCCUCCCGUAGCUCUGCCUCACUGUGCCAUGACGCAUCAUCGCCGGCUGCUGCGUGCGUUGAUGUCAUGAUGUGUGCUCGCACCGCGUGCGCGCAGGUGUCGUCGAGCUGGAUGGUGCACACCAGGUGUUCGAUCAAAUGCGUGCCCUUGGAGAUGCGUCAACUAAUCUCGUUUUCGGCCGUGGCUCCGUCAGCAUCGAGUACGGUAAUGGCGGCGCUUCGUGGGAGAAAAUCAAAAUAUAUUUGCUAUGUUUCUUAGGUACCUGUAUAUAGAGCGUGGCUUGCUGCACGGCGAAGAGACCGCAGAUCCAAUAGCUGGGGCGGAGUACUUACUGAGGUAGCCUUUGGGGAUCAGAUGCCUCUCCGGGUCUGGCGGAUGUGGCCGUUCAAGCACCCUACUGUAUCGCCCGCAUCCCCAGCCGGCUGUGCCGAACCAGCCGGUGGCCGUUGUGCGGUCUCCGGGCUCCGGGCACGAUACCGGACCGGCCUGCCGGUCCAGUUGUCCCUGAUCCGAACCGCUCUGUGGAUGCCUCUCUCAACGUGUCCCGGGUGGGUGGAAGCGCAGGCAGCACCAUCCAGCUGUACGCGAUGAAGAGUGGUCAUUGUAAACCGUGUACCUCCACUCGUGGCGGCAAUCAGGAGUUUUCCUCAAGGAGCGAAUUCUGCAAUCUGUACUCGUGGGAGUAUGGUGUUCGUAUCAGGAAAGUGUCACCAAAACGUCCCAGAGAUUGUUUGCAGUUGUGCAGGCAAGCCGGACAGGGAGAACAGUUCAUCCGCUAGAACAAAGUGCCCUGCGAUGCUAAGCCUGUUAAGGACGGAAGAUGGAGGCUGGUAUGGUAUUUAUGUGCGCACAGGGUGUUGCAUAACCAUGAACGCCUCGGAACUUGUGCGGAGAAGUUAAAUUAGCCCCACUGAUAGACGUUGCAAUCUUGAAGUCAGAAGUGCCUUCACGACCGGAGCAAGCGCCACCCGGACCAGAUUGGCAUUUCACUUGAGAUGGUGUUGUGAUGACCUCCUGAAGUAUGGAUCUGCUUGCGCCCGUAUCGAGCGAUGGCCGAUGGCAGUGAUUAUGCGGAUUGCAGAACAUGUGUUUUCCUUAACUGUGCACACGCUAUGAUAUUUUCAAAGUAUUGCUGUGCACAAAUACAAAAGAGCAACUCUACGAGGCUUGGAUCACAUACCUUGUGUUGUAUCCUGCUGCUGGUUUCUGAAGAGAGGACGGCGCCCUUUCCUUGCGGUUGCACACUGCGCCAGCAAUCGGAGACGGAAACGUGCACGGCAACGGCAAGGGUAGGAGUGUGUGGGCGUGGGGGCAUGCGGGAAAAGAUGAUGUGAGGAAGACAGCAUCAUGGCGGAUCACUUGCACCAAUAUAAAGAUACAUGUCGGUUUAGUGUCUUUUGACUUUGUGGAGAAUUUUUGUUUUAGCAGCUGAUCAUGUCAUAGCGCACCGCGUAACAAAAUACUUUGAAUACUGAUACAAAGGAGUUGCUAUCCUAUAUUUAUUUAUAAUUUCUAUAGUUGCAGCAAUUUUUU